rnacentral:misc_RNA from 1 species
UCAAAGACAUGAUUCCAGUUACAAUUUCUGUUUUAGUGCUUUCUGUGCACUUGGACCACAUGUCAGCGUAUACAAAUCCCCCCAAAACGCUGCGCUGCACAGCGCGACGUUGCCAGCUGGAAGUUUGCCUUUCGCAGCGAAGUCACAUGCUUUUGAGCUUUCUAAUGCCAGGGCAGGCAGUCGCGCAGUUGUCAGCAGUUAACAUAUGCAGGGUAAGUUUUUUACUGUGCAAAGUCCCAUCUAUAUAUUCAAAGCGUUACUUCAAUUACAAAGUAUUUGUAUUGCGCAAUGACAGAUUUGACUGCAUUUUGAAAAUGAGAAUUUCACAAGCAACAUUCAUUUGCACUUUAGCCUCUUGCACAACGUACCCUGUCUGCUUUCAGCCCUAGAUAUGACAAGAAGAGCUGAAGACCCACAGCUGGCACCACUGCAAUAACGGCUCUCUCUCUCCCUCUAUGUGUGUGUCACUCUCUCGUCAAUUUGCGUUCGUUUUGGUGCUCUGGCGUAUCGCUCUGGUGCGUAUCGUCGUCUAUGGCAAGUGGCAUAUCGGCUGCAAGUUUAGUCCUGACUCAUACGCGUAGUUGAAAAGUCCUUCGAAUAGCCUUCUCAAAGUGCGCAAAUCAAAUAUAUUUUUUUCCAGUGUCUUACCUCUCUGUGUAUCCGAAUCUGAGCAAUCGAUUAGUACCAAAGCAUAUGAGUUUUUACCAGAAGGUGUCGACGCUAUCGACUUGUUUCAUGUUGUAAUUCAAAUACUUUCGGUAAGUACUUCA